CUCGAUAAUCCACGAAAACACAACCUUCUCUAGAUAUCAGCAUGUGUACUGCCGUUGUAAGCACACCUCUAAAAGAACAAGUGUGCCGCUAUGAUAACAAACUCAUAUACAUCAGGUCAAAGUGCAGCUAAUAAGAAGGUGAUGAUGGGUUACAACCCUAAUAUAGAUUAUCAAUAAAGAAAUAAAAAAUCUUAAGAAAGUGGACUUGGCUGUAAUCAACUUAUAGGCUAAAAAGAUGAAUAAAAAUCUAAGACAUGUACACAUCGCCCGUCACUCUAUCCUAAAGGUUAGAUAAGUCGUAACAAAGUAGGUGUAAUGGAAAUUGUACCUGUCGAAGUAUAGCAUAUAUAAUGCUUUUUACUUACACUAAAAAAAAAGUUUAAUACUUACUCCGCCCACACAAAACAACCCUAUAAAAUUAUUUUAUAAUAUAAAAACAAUUAAGCAUUUAACUAGAAAAGACAAAGUACAGAAAUGGAAACUAUAAUAAAUAACAGUAAAUUUUAACAACUAUACCUUGUGCAUUAUGGUUUUACAAGAAAACAAUUAAAAACAUAAAUCCCGAAUUCUAUAUGAGAUGUUAGACUGCUGUUAAGAACCCAUUAGUAACUGUAGAAAAAGGUUUAGAAGACAGUAUAACAGAGGCUACAUACCAUUCGCAUUAGAAAAUAGCUGGUUUUCAACAAACAUUAUACAUUAAAGCAUAUAAUUAUAUUAUACUGUAAUAUUAUUGAGGACAAGCCCAAUAAUUUAAACAAUACUUAUAACUAUCUAUUAUAUAAUAUAGGCCUAAAAUCAGCCAACAAUACCACUUUACCGUAACAUAUACAGAUAUAAUUUAUACAUAAAUAUGUUAAAAUAAAGUUGAAAUGAUAAAUAAACCACCUUAUUUGUCCCUACUAUGUAAAAAUAAGUAUUAAAAAAAUAUAAAUAAAACAAUCAGGAAAUUUUCAAUAAUAAAGCAACCAUAAUUAAUUAAGGAAUUCGGCAAACCACUAUUUCGACUGUUUAACAAAAACAUUGUCUCAUGAAUAAAAUACGAGAUAAUACCUGCCCA
rnacentral:rRNA from 1 species